rnacentral:rRNA from 1 species
UACGUAGGGGGCUAGCGUUGUCCGGAAUCAUUGGGCGUAAAGCGCGUGUAGGCGGUCCGGUAAGUCCGCUGUGAAAGUCGGGGGGCUCAACCCUCGGAUGCCGGUGGAUACUGUCGGGCUUGAGUACGGAAGAGGCGAGUGGAAAUUCCUGGUGUAGCGGUGAAAUGCGCAGAUAUCAAGGAGGAACACCAAUUGCGAAGGCAGCUCGCUGGGACG